rnacentral:rRNA from 1 species
AGGACGAACGCUGGCGGCGUGCUUAAUACAUGCAAGUCGAACGAGAAGCCACCGCUCCGUAAGGAGUGGUGGUGGACAGUGGCGAACGGGUGAGUAACACGUGGGCAACGUGCCCUGGACACCGGAACAACAGUGGGAAACUGCUGCUAAUCGCCGGAUAAACCUGCAGCGUCGCAUGACGCAACAGGCAAACGGUCCGCCGGUCCAGGACUCCGGCCCGCGGUAGUAUCAGUCGUUGUUGGUGGGGUAACGCCUACCGAAGGCUUGACGCAUAGCUGGCGUGAGACGCGCGACCAGCCACGACGUGGACUGAGACACCGGCCAGACCGUCCG